rnacentral:rRNA from 1 species
UCGAGAAUUUUUCACAAUGGGCGCAAGCCUGAUGGAGCGACGCCGCGUGGGGGAUGAAUGGCUUCGGCCCGUAAACCCCUGUCAUUUGCGAGCAAGGCUCCGCACCCAACACGUGCGGAGUUGAUAGUAGCGAAAGAGGAAGGGACGGCUAACUCUGUGCCAGCAGCCGCGGUAAUACAGAGGUCCCAAGCGUUGUUCGGAUUCACUGGGCGUAAAGGGUGCGUAGGUGGCAGGGUAAGUUUGAUGUGAAAUCCCCGGGCUUAACUCGGGAACUGCAUUGAAUACUAUCCUGCUUGAGGAUCGGAGGGGAGACUGGAAUUCUCGGUGUAGCAGUGAAAUGCGUAGAGAUCGAGAGGAACACCAGUGGCGAAGGCGAGUCUCUGGACGAUUCCUGACGCUG